AUUUGUUGUAAAGCUGGUUUGGUGGUGCUGAACUCUCUCAGCUUUUGCUUGUCUGUAAAGGUUUUAAUUUCUCCAUCAAAUCUGAAUGAGAUCCUUGCUGGGUAAAGUAAUCUUGGUUGCAGGUUUUUCUCCUUCAACACUUUCAAUAUGUCCUGCCACUCCCUUCUGGCUUGCAGAGUUUCUGCUGAAAGAUCAGCUGUUAACCUUAUGGGGAUUCCCUUGUGUGUUAUUUGUUGUUUUUCCCUUGCUGCUUUUAAUAUGUUUUCUUUGUAUUUAAUUUUUGACAGUUUGAUUAAUAUGUGUCUUGGCGUAUUUCUCCUUGGAUUUAUCCUGUAUGGGACUCUCUGUGCUUCCUGGACUUGAUUAACUAUUUCCUUUCCCAUAUUAGGGAAGUUUUCAACUAUAAUCUCUUCAAAUAUUUUCUCAGUCCCUUUCUUUUUCUCUUCUUCUUCUGGAACCCCUAUAAUUCGAAUGUUGGUGCGUUUAAUGUUGUCCCAGAGGUCUCUGAGACUGUCCUCAGUUCUUUUCAUUCUUUUUUCUUUAUUCUGCUCUGCAGUAGUUAUUUCCACUAUUUUAUCUUCCAGGUCUCUUAUCCGUUCUUCUGCCUCAGUUAUUCUGCUAUUGAUUCCUUCUAGAGAAUUUUUUAUUUCAUUUAUUGUGUUGUUCAUCAUUGUUUGUUUGCUCUUUAGUUCUUCUAGGUCCUUGUUAAACGUUUCUUGUAUUUUC